rnacentral:rRNA from 1 species
ACAUGCAAGUGAACGAAGCACUGUGUGUUGAGACUUCGGUUGAUUCACACUUUGGACUUAGUGGCGGACGGGUGAGUAAUGCGUGAGCAACCUGCCGUUUCAGAGGGGGACAACAGUUGGAAACGACUGCUAAUACCGCAUGAUGUAUCGAGGGGGCAUCCCUUUGAUACCAAAGCUUAAUGUGCUGAAAGAUGGCCUCGCGUCUGAUUAGAUAGUUGGUGAGGUAACGGCUCACCAAGUCGACGAUCAGUAGCCGGUCUGAGAGGAUGAACGGCCACAUUGGGACUGAGAUACGGCCCAGACUCCUACGGGAGGCAGCAGUGGGGAAUAUUGCACAAUGGGGGAAACCCUGAUGCAGCGACGCCGCGUGAGUGAAGAAGUAAUUCGUUACGUAAAGCUCUAUCAGCAGGGAAGAAAAUGACGGUACCUGACUAAGAAGCCCCGGCUAACUACGUG